CGCCGCUGCCCCACGCGGAGCGCGACUGCCGUCACCCGGACUUUCUUCUGGUUCACCCCUGCAUACCGAGUGCUGAGAACGGGCAGCGCAUAGGAGGAACGCAGUCCCUACCUGUCACAUAGAUGCAGGUUGUCUUGCCAAAUAGAACUCCACCUGGGCACCCUGAGAGGGGUGGCUCAGGCCGGGGCAGGCCUGCUGGGCCAGGACCAGGAUCACUCACUCCAGGGGAAGCUGGCUGCUGAGUCAUGAAGAGGUCCAUGCAGCCCUCCGGAGAAGCCCAUGGGAGACACUGAGGCCUCCAGCCAACAGCGACCAACCCCUUGCUAGGGGUGAGGAAGACUCUUGGAAGACUGUUCAGCCCCAGAAAGCCUUGAGGUGAUCAUGGCUUAGACCAGCAUCUUAGCUGCAACCUCAUGGGAGACCUAGAGGCAGAGCCAUCCAGCUGGGCCAUUCCCUGGCUCCUGCCCUGCAGAAGCCCUGUGAUACCGUAUAAUUUGAGACAUUACUCAGUUCUAAGCUCAGAGAGGAGACUUCUUUUCAAGGUCAUUGCAUACGGUUGAGCAAGUUGGCCACUGCACAAACAUGCCCAGCAGAGUUGAUUUUCCAGCAAACCUUCAGAGGGAGAAGGAGAAAUUGUCCCUCGGCCCCUACAGUUUUGGCACUGUGAGCAGGAGACUGACACCAUUCUGCUCUCCUGGGAGCUGCAGUGAAGGAAACCCAGGACCUGACAAACUGGCAGAAGGAACAGAAGCCUAUGAUGCAGAUGUGGCCAAUCAGUGCCCUGGGGCUCCAGCAGCAGUGCAGGAAUGCGGAACUGAUCAUAAAGAUCCAACCAGCAUGAAGAAAUUCUGACACUGGAGGAAGGGCUACCGGGAGAAAACAUUUCUCUUUUCCCCAGCCAGCUGUCAGCUAGCCUGAGAGAAUGUGAGGCUGGGGCUACCAUCUUGCCACUAUGAAGAGAGAACCUGCUGAGCAAGGAGGCAACACAGAGCCAGAUAUGGAGAGAAAUAAGCAGUCUUGGAAUGCUGUUUCAUCCUCUGGAUCAAACCAUUCCUGAAGAUGAGGACGCCAAGGCAUGGGUGGAGGCUCACCCUUGACUGAACUCACAAAGCUAAGCCAGACAAGGCUGCAGCCUGCCCAACACCCGGAGGUAUGCCCACACGGCUCCCCACCCCUGCGACCCAGCUCUGCCAUCUUCCUCCUUAUUUCUGUCUGCCCAAGGGUGUCUCCCCACCUGCCUGCUCCCUUUUCCCCUGAGAAGACCUCAGCUGCAGCCCCUGCCUCCUUGGCCACGCUGGCCUUGUCCACAGCCCCUUGUUCAGCAGCUUGGACGGCUGGAGCCAUCUCCACUCGCCUAGUGGGGCUGCCACCCUUCAGGGCACUGGGCUGUGAGUAGACACCCAGACCGAGGCUGGAGGGGCUGUGUCCCUGAGGCCCUGUUCGUGGGUGCUGUGUGCACCUCUCAAACCUGUUUCCGUGCAUCCCCAAGGCCGACACCCUGGUUAAGCUGCAGACGUCUAGCACCGGCCACAACCUCCUAGCUGGUCUUCCGGCCCUUGGCCUCUCCAGUUCACUGCCAGUCUUCCUCACUUCCUGCUGCCCUGCCUGGUGCCUGAAGCCUCCAGCCUCCUCAGCGCCAUGCCCCUGCAGGCCCCACUUCCUACCCCAGCUCCUCUGCAGGAGGCCUCAGCCUGCCUGACUCCAGCUCAGCCCUCCGGCUUGUCUUAAGUUCAGGUCCUGAGGGAAGCCAGCCUACUUUCAGACCUGCCAGGGGCCUCUGCCACAGGCCCUGUUCCCCUCCCACCGCACCCUGUGGCCCCAGGGUCCUGUCAUCACCACUCACUCUCUCACUACUCAAUUGGAAACCUCACAGGGCGGGACCAGGAGGGCUGUGGCAACCACGCCCUAGUGACAGGGCUGCAGAGCACUUGGUCCCUGGAGUUCUGGGGUAGCGGAAGAGCCCGUAUUUUGAAAGGAGGGAGCUGUUAAAAUUGUGAGUUUGGUGACAUACUGCAUUUCUUAGGAAUGUGGGUUUCCUUGCUUUAAAUCUGUGAUUUUUCAAGCAAGAGCCACUUAGGGUAACCUGGGCAUUACCAUUUUUAUUUUUUUUGAGACAGAGUCUCGAUCUGUCCCCCAUGCUGGAGUGCAAUGGUGCUAUCUCAGCUCACUGCAACCUCCGCCUCCUGGGUUCAAGCAAUCCUCCUGCCUCAGCCUCUUGAGUAGCUGGGAUUACAGGUGCCUGCCACCACGCCCAGCUUGUUUUUGUAUUUUUAGUAGAGACCGGGUUUCACCAUGUUGGCCAGGCUAGCCUUGAACUCCUAACCUCAAGUGAUCCACCCGCCUCGGCCUCCCAAAGUGCUGAGAUUACAGACAUGAGCCAUCAUGCCUGGCCUGGCAUUACCAUUAAGAAAUGAGACUGCUGGAGAGAUGCUCAAAUGAUUUCAGAUAUUUAUUAAGCACCCACAUAAUAGUCCAAAUGGUUCUUCUACAAACAUUUUAAAUUGAAGUAUAACAUAUGCCCUGAGAAAACACACAUCCUCUGUUUGCAAUCUCCCCUGCCUUAGCCAGCAAGCGCUCUGUCUCCAGCUCCCAGGCCACGGAGCCCCAUCUUCCAUGGGGCUAGGUAGCCCCCUAAAGAUGACUUAACACAGCCUGUUCUGCACACAGAGCAGCCAGCUUGCAUUUAGGGCAGUGAUGGGAUGCUGGUACAUGUGUAACAAGCCCUGGUUUGUAGCAUAGUGUAAAUUGCUGUGUAAAUGUUCCCACCAUGAGGGUUGCAGGGUGCCGGCAUGAAUGUGCCGUCUGCAGGAGGUGCACACAUCAGCUCUCAUGAGCCAGCACAAGCCCCUGUGGCACAGCACCUGUUUGGGGCCUGUGUUUUUUUAUACAAAGCAUUAUAAUCGCACACUUUUUUGGGAGAGCAGGGCAACUGAGGAUGCUUUCCGUCUCACAUUCGCUGCAAGGCGAGCCUCCACUGGCAGCACUCUACAGGCAGGACAGAGCCACUGGCAGCACUCUCUACAGCGUCCUUUCUCUUUCCUCCCCUCCCUCCCUCUCUUUUGGUAGAGGAUACAGUUUAAUUUGUGUAGAUUAAAUGUGCCUGCAAUAAACAC
rnacentral:lncRNA from 10 species